GACAGAGGGGGCAAGCGUUGCUCGGAAUUACUGGGCGUAAAGGGCGCGUAGGCGGGAUGGCAAGUCGGUCGUGAAAUCCCUCGGCUCAACCGAGGAACGUCGAUCGAUACUGCUGUUCUUGAGGAUUGCAGAGGAGACUGGAAUUCCCGGUGUAGCGGUGAAAUGCGUAGAUAUCUGGAGGAACACCGGUGGCGAAGGCGGCAUCCUGGACCGGUAUUGACACUGAGGCGCGAAAGCCAGGGGAGCAAACGGG
rnacentral:rRNA from 1 species